AACGAACGCUGGCGGCAGGCCUAACACAUGCAAGUCGAACGCCCCGCAAGGGGAGUGGCAGACGGGUGAGUAACGCGUGGGAACCUACCUAGUGGUACGGAACAACUCGGGGAAACUUGAGCUAAUACCGUAUACGCCCUCCGGGGGAAAGAUUUAUCGCCAUUAGAUGGGCCCGCGUCGGAUUAGCUAGUUGGUGAGGUAAUGGCUCACCAAGGCUUCGAUCCGUAGCUGGUCUGAGAGGAUGAUCAGCCACACUGGGACUGAGACACGGCCCAGACUCCUACGGGAGGCAGCAGUGAGGAAUAUUGGACAAUGGGCGCAAGCCUGAUCCAGCCAUGCCGCGUGAGUGAAGAAGGCCUUAGGGUUGUAAAGCUCUUUCGACGGGGAAGAUAAUGACGGUACCCGUAGAAGAAGCCCCGGCUAACUUCGUGCCAGCAGCCGCAGUAAGAC
rnacentral:rRNA from 1 species